rnacentral:lncRNA from 1 species
GCAGCAGCAGGUGUCCAUGGCAACAAUGACGAUUCCGUCCCAGUAGUAACAACAAUGAAAGCUGUUUAAUCCCAGGUCCAGUAGCAGUAGAAGCAGCUGCAGGGACUUCACCACAUUAUUCUGUAUCCAGGAGUAACAUCAUACUGGAUUUGGAAGUUUUAGUGGGGUCAAUGAUGAGAAGCAAGGUGAUGACAAACCUUGAUGAAAAGAGAGCAAAGCAUGAAGUGUGAGGUCAAGAGCAGAACACAAUAGACUGAGAUGUCGGGAGCCUGAAUGGGAAGAGGAAAGAGGGUAUGAUACCUCCAACUGACAAAUUAUUUUUAAUUGACUCAUUUAUGAAAUACUUAUUGUCUCCUCUAU